AUGUCUUCACCGCCGGCAAGCCCGUCUCUUCCGCUGUCGGUCACCAUGUCGCCUCCGGUGACCACCACGACCGUCACCCCGCUCCUGCCCGCGCCGGGAUCCUCCAUCGCGCCCGCCCCCGCCGUCCUCACCUGGGAGGAGGUGUCCGGGGUGCUGCGGAACCUAACCCAGACGGUCCAGGAUAUCCACAUGUUCUUGGCCGGGUCCUACGGGCCGCCCCCAGCUGCGCCGCCCAUCGCCGCCCCCGUGCCGCCGUGUCUGCCGUGGCAGCCGCCGCACCAGGCGGCCUUCGCCGCGCUCGCCGGGCCGCCGCAGCUGCCAUCCAUCGCCACCACCGCCCAGCCCUGGCUGCAGCUGCAGACGCCGCUCCUGGCGGCCUCCGCCGCGCCCGGCGCUCCGCCGUAG
rnacentral:rRNA from 1 species